UUGUUUUGGGGCUGUCUUGUUAGGAGAUUAAGUUUUCUUUUAAAAAGUCAGAAAAAAAGAGUCUCUAGCGGGGGCCUGAGCGGAGCUGACCUCUGAGGAGGAGAUGGCGGCAGAGUCUGACUGGCACUGAGUUUGUCUAAUUAAUCUUCUUGUCAACAGAGUUGUUCUCUCCUGGUGCCAGCCCUGACAUCAUCUUGCAAGCUUGUCACACCGGUUCCUAUCCAGCUACAAAGGCCUCUCCUUGCUCCCUGCUCACACCAGCCAGCCCAGCAUAGCCUGCUGUAUUGCAUAUACCGGAGAGGCACCAUGGCUAGGCUGGAUCUCCAGGGAGAGACGAGAGGGACCUUCCCCAGCCUCUGACUUAGAGCGGCCCUGUAGAUCACGGCUGACAGGACAGCUGGUCAGGGAGCAUGGAGCGGGUGUUUAGAAGUUUGCUGACUGAAGAAAUGAAUGGAAGCUAGUGUCUGAGCCUGUCUUUGUUCUGAGUCAGGAAGCCAUGUGUCUUUGAAGAAGCGGCAGAUUCUGGACACCCUUACAACUCAGAAGAAAGAACCAAGAGUUGCCAUCCACGCAGUGCUUGGAGAGCUCUUCUCAGAACUUUGUUGCUGCUCAUUUAUUCCAGGUCAGGAAAUACACUGUGGGGGAGCAGUCACUGUGCUUCCAUGAGGGGACUUUCUGAGCCACACUCGAAACGAAGCAAGCUGGGUUUGGGGAAGCUGGAAACAUUUUAGAAUUGCUCCCUUUCUCCCUGGGUUUGGGAGUCCUCUCACCCGUGUGAAGUCAGCCCUGCUCGUCAGCAGCCUUGUUUCUUCCCUCAGAAACUCAGCGGCCUUUCACCCAGCAACAGCAUUCCAAAAUCAAGCCUUUUUCAGUUUCCACGGAACUGGAGCAAAUGUUUAAAUCAGUGGAAGUUAAACUAAUGAGAGGAAGGGAGAAAAGAAAUCCCCAAAGCAAAACAGGCAUUGCUUUUAAUCUGCCUCAUGCUUUGGGGACCCUUUUAUCCCCAUCUUGAAAGGACUGUUCACAGAGCAAGGAAGCUCGGCAAACGCAGAGGUACCUGGAUAUGGUGCCACGGAACAGCUCGGACAAACUCACUUGGAGGGGAAACAAAGGCAGGCUGGGAGGAGGUGGGGAGGUUCGGAUGGAGCAGCCUGCACCUUGACUUGCAGCUAGAAGGAUGCCCAGGAGAGAAGCUUCAUUUUGCAGAUGGCGUGCCAGGGGCCCACUCAAGAUAGCUCCUGAGCAGGCAGUGAGUGGAACCCGUUCCUCGGCGGACUGACACGUCCUUAAUGAGCAGCUAGUAGUCUCAUUUAGGGGCGUUCCCCAGCCUGGGAUCAGUGAAGAUGUCUAAACGAGAACCAGCACUUUCAGGCCAGUACCCAAGGAUUUGCUUUGUAAAAGGAGAGUGGCUGCACAGAUGAAUUAUGGACCGUGGUGCCCUUGCGAGCCUGGGUCUCUUCUCUCACUGUGCUCCCGGUGCACUCUCCAUUGCAAAGCACCAGGACAGGAUGAGCAGGGGCAGACAUCAAAGCAAGAGUUUCUGGAAGGUACUCUGUAGCUCCAUUAUUAUCGUAAGACAAGCUGGCUGCCUCGGGUCAAUGAGAAUCGUGUACAGAGCAGGCCUGUAGUAGCCUGCAAUGUUCCUUUUAAGAAAUUUCUGGUAGCUUGAUCCAGCCCAGAAUAUUUUGAGAGAGGAUGUUUAAAGUAUUCUAUCAUGGAGGGGGGGGGAUCAUAAAGUGUCGAUGUCAAAAGAAACCACAAACAGAUGGGCCAAUAGACCCAAAGGUCUCCAGCACAGAGAUAAGAAGUUACUAUGUGGUAAGGAUCCAUGGAGAAAAGGAGAUUAGGCAAUAAGUGCUAGGAGGACCAGCCAUGUGGGAGAAAUUAGAGAUAAUCCCUGGCUUUCCCCAUAGAUCAGAAUAAAUUCCACAUACAUUUAACAUCAGGUAAGCUUCUACUCCUGGGGCAAGGACUUUCCUGAGAAAAAUGCUUAGAAAUGGGUCUAAAAGUAAAAGACUUGGGGGUUUGUCUCUAGAAACACUGACACUUUAAGGCAUUGGUCACAGCAGGAAGACAUCUGUGACAUCACCAAAGCUCCCACCCUGCCCCCGCAAGGUGUCUUGGUGGGUGAAGGCCUGUGCGGAGGAAGCCUGGAAACAGGAUUUUGAUCCAGGCCAUAGAUGUGUGGUUGGAAGGUGAGAAGGGACCCCAAAGAGUUGUCCUCUGGCCUCUGCACAGCAUGGGAUGUUCCCCUCCUCCCCACUCAUGCACUGCUAAUUUUUUAAUUUAAAAACAUUGUGAGUAAUCUUAUUUUAUGUGAAAGGUUAUUACCAAACAAAAAAGAAAAGAGCUGGCGCAGUAGAAAUAGGGGAAAAACUUGAGUGAUAGCAGAGAUAUAAACUUGGAAGGAAUGUGUAAAAAAAAACCUUUUAAAUCUAUUAAUUAAAGCUAUAAAUCAAAGCCAGGUGUAGUAACCCAUGCUUGGACUCCCAUCUGGGAGGACAAGCCAGAGAGCCAGGGCUGUGUGGGCUACACAGCAAGACCCUGUCGCAAGGCACACGCAUAUACUCACAAGAACUCAUAAUGAAAGCAUAAAUGAGCGUUCGAUCUACCCAUCAGUUCUCUGCAGAGUAAUCCAUUCUCAUCCAUGGCUGGUGGGAGUUCACACUGCCAGCGACUUCCUUCUUCUGAGACAUCAUACACAUACAUGCCGCUCUUUGAUCAAAGCUCCCCUCCCCCAUUCUCCUCUUCUAUCCCUCUGUUUCUGGGUGACUCACUGAACUUAAUUAGGGUUACCCAUGUGAGCACAGGUGAGAGGCUAUUUACCUGAGCGAGAUCGAUGGGCAAGUGGACACACUGCUGAGGAAGAUGACUCCCCCUUAGCUCACCACAAAAACAACAACCGCCCCCCCCCAAAAAAAACCUGUUGACUCAUCUCUUCAAAACUGCCCAACGAAAUUCCAACGUUUCAAGUGGAGGACUUGACGUCUAAAUGAAGAUGCUCCUUUCUGUUAAUGUGUGCUUUUGUAUUGAUCUCGUUCAAACUUCUUAAGCCUGUGCACCUGCUCUCUUGUGUCCUGUGGAUGGAAAUCAUGGAGCAUCAAGGAUAAGUGGGGACCAUGGGGACAGCCCCAGGGAUCUUUAUGACCUUUAAAGCAUAGGUGGACCAACAGGCUCAUUUCAGUUGGAUCACUGGUCAUCUUCUUCUUCUUCUUCUUUUUUUUUUUAAUUAACUUGAGUAUUUCUUAUAUACAUUUCGAGUUUUAUUCCCUUUCCCGGUUUCCGGGCAAACAUCCCCUCCCCCUCCCCUUCUUUAUGGGUGUUCCCCUCCCCAUCCUCCCCCCAUUGCCGCCCUCCCUCCGACAAUCACGUUCACUGGGGGUUCAGUCUUAGCAGGACCCAUGGCUUCCCCUUCCACUGGUGCUCUUACUAGGAUAUUCAUUGCUACCUAUGAGGUCAGAGUCCAGGGUCAGUCCAUGUAUAGUCUUCAGGUAGUAGCUUAGUCCCUGGAAGCUCUGGUUGCUUGGCAUUGUUGUACAUAUGGGGUCUCGAGCCCCUUCAAGCUCUUCCAGUUCUUUCUCUGAUUCCUUCAACGGGGGUCCUAUUCUCAGUUCAGUGGUUUGCUGCUGGCAUUCGCCUCUGUGUUUGCUGUAUUCUGGCUGUGUCUCUCAGGAGCGAUCUACAUCCGGCUCCUGUCGGCCUGCACUUCUUUGCUUCAUCCAUCUUGUCUAAUUGGGUGGCUGUAUAUGUAUGGGCCACAUGUGGGGCAGGCUCUGAAUGGGUGUUCCUUCUGUGUCUGUUUACUGGUCAUCUUCUUAAUUCCCAUGUGUCCCCUGACUGAUUGCCUGUAUCCAUCGACUAUCCUAGCCUAUUUUGUUACCAGGACAGAGAUGCACACGGAAGUUUGUAUCAUCUGUGUCUUCUUACCAAUUGGAUCAUCAAAAUUCAGUUCUCCUCACCCAAGACUGAGAGCUUUUCAGUAGGACCCACCACUGAAGACACAUUGGCGUUGAUGUGCGGUUGAGGUGAUGGCUCUUGUUUACCGGUGUUUGAUGUCCCUGGCCUCAUGGAGGAUGGGUGGGGCCAUUUUGACUGGGUCUGACAAUAAGUUGUAAGAGGAAGUGACGUCGUUAACUCCCAGGUUGAAGCAUAGCCCCAGGUUGAGGUGGAAUAUCUCUUUCUCUUUCGUGUUAAUCACGGAAGCCACACAUUUCAGAGAAUUCAGUUCUGAGAUGUAGGAGUGGCCACUAGCCUCCAUCUGUCAGCAAGUGACCAUGUGGAUGACAUUGCAUAAACCCUGUGCUGUCUUGCAGCCCUGACCAACUCACCAUGGGCAUAAAAUAAGCCUUUUUUAUGCGUAGGCUCUAAGGCUAUUAGGGUCUAUUAGGUACUGCAGUUCAUCCAGCUUGGCCUCACUGGUUUUUUUUUUUUUUUUUUUUUUUUUUUUUUUUUUUUUGAGCUGAGGAAUGAACCCAGGGCCUUGUGCUUGCUAGGCAAGCGCUCUACCACUGAGCUAAAUCCCCAACCCCUGGCCUCACUGUUAAGGACUUCUGCAUCAGCCAUGGCCUGGAGCUGGCAGAGUUUUCACAGGGACAGGCUGGGUGUCCCAUCCUUGCAGGACAUCACUUGUGCGACCCAGUGGUGAGACACUGCCUCACUGGAGGAAGGCAUUUCCUCCUUUCUUCUGCUUUGGGGAAAAUAGAUUCUCAGAUCUAAAUAGACCAUUAAUGGCCAGUGAAUGAUGUUCCCUUUGGACACACGAGGUACUUGAUAUCUGUAAUCUUUGUUUGUUAUAUGCUCUAUUGGUCUU